AUUCCAGCUCCGAUAGCGUAUAUUAAUGUUGUUGCAGUUAAAAAGCUCGUAGUUGGAUUUCUGGAUUGAGCGGCUGGCCUUGCGCGCAAGCGUUCGUGUCGGCUUCGUUUCGGUCCAUCCUCAGGGGGACUUGCGCUGGCAUUAACGUGUCGGUGUUGGGACGCCUGUCGUUUACUGUGAACAAAUUAGAGUGUUCAAAGCAAGGUGUACUUGAAUACAUUAGCAUGGAAUAAUAAGAUAGGACUUUGGUGGUUCUUUUUAGAUAUUUUGUUGGUUUGCACGCCAAAGUAAUGAUUAAUAGGAGCAGUUGGGGGUAUUCGUAUUCAAUUGUCAGAGGUGAAAUUCUUGGAUUUAUAGAAGACGAACUACUGCGAAAGCAUUUACCAAGGAUGUUUUCAUCA
rnacentral:rRNA from 1 species